CGAGUUCCCAUACGAUCACCGAUGUUAAGCAAUGUCGAGUCUGAUCAGUACCUAGAUGGGUCACAGCUUGGUAAUACCAGGUGCUGUAAG